AUAGGUCCCAACACGAGGCCUCGGCAACGGCACAAACCCUUCACCGUGAACAAUGCUUUGCCAGUCCCAAACAAACUUACCAGCACUAGUCAAAGCCGGGUUCACGUACACGCCAGAAGGUAUAAUGACAACCACACUGUGCCCACGCUGGCCAAGCACGUGAAGAGCGGGAGCGAAAUCAACAUCUCCAGUGAUGAUAACGAUAGUGGAAGGAGGAGGAUGGUCAAGCACGAACAGGAACAUGUCGAGGAGGAUAGCUUUAUCAGCUGCGUCUUUCCUGCCGUUGGGUACAUCGACGAGUUUGACACCUGUCCUCUGACAGCCUUCCCUGACGCGGCGAGGGAAGGCGUUGAAGUCGCCGAAGGCUGAGAAGACGACCACCGAGCCGGAGACCACUGGGUGGAGCUGUAUAGCGGUUCGGAUGUUACUGGCGACGUCUUCGGGACGUACGUCGCUGGGGACGGGACAGUUUUCGAUGUCCCAGAGGACUGCUAGAGGAGCUUCGCGUCUCUGUGUGGCGGCCAUUAGGUUGAAAUCGCUUGCAAAGGAAUCAACGGAGACGAUCGCUGUUUCUGAUGGUGACAUUGCUUUUUGUAUCAUCAUCAAUCGCUGGCUUCUAUUAACAAACAAAAACACUUCGAGUAUGGUUUUAGCUAGGGAUUAGAGAAAUUGAGAUGAAGAUUAAGCAGAUCGAAAGCAUAGUACCUGAUGCACAGAGACGGAUCUUGAAGAUGAGAGAGAGAUUUCACGAUUCUGCAGAAUCUUAAGGGAAAGAUGAUAUUUCUUCUCCGGCGGAAAAAGGAAAUUAAAAUUGUUUUGGAGCUUUCACCGACUCUCUUUCUAAGUUUUCUCUUUCGUGGGCUUAUGUAGUUCCUUAAAAGCCCAUUUCCGCCAUUUUCUAUCUUCUUUGAAAACUUUUGUUUUUGUUCGUAAAACUUAGGAUUUAGAAUCACUAAGUUCUUAGUAGGGGUUAUUGGUUGUUGUAUUUUAAUGGAUUUGAAAAUCCGAACUAAAUCUAGAGGAGCUAUUGGCACUUGGGGAACGCAUAGGAGAUGUGAGCACUGGACUUAGCGAAGAUGUCAUUCUGAAAACUAUGAAACAGCACAAAUGUACAUCUUCUUCUCCUGAGUUGCAUCAGUACAUGGAGCCUUGCUGUAUUUGUCAGGUAAACUAGUUAUAAACUAAAGAGUAUUCCUUUUCACUACUGUACAUUAAUCAUGCAUCUGUAUACUCAGCUUGGCCAGAAGGCCAUUCCUUACGCGACAAUUACACUUAGUGAGCAUAAAAGAUAAGAAAAGUGGUUUUUUAUUGUUUCUCUUGCAUGUGGAGUGAAUUAGGAUACUGCAGAUAAGAUAGAUUGGACCAGAGUUUGUUUGUUGUUUGGGAGCCUUCUGAGAUUUGGAAAACUUAGUUUCCUCUGUGUCUCUACUUAAUGUGUCUCUACUUAAAGUCACGAACUGAUGUGGAACUGUUUUUCUUGGUGCUGUUUUGACAGGAAGAAUAUGCAGAAGGUGAUGAUCUUGGGACCUUGGAAUGUGGCCAUGAGUUCCACAAGGACUGUAUCAAGCAAUGGGUCAUGCUCAAGAAUCUCUGCCCCAUAUGUAAGACCGUGGCAUUAACAACGUGAUGGUACUCUCAUCUUAAUUGCGCAUCCCGGCUCCAUUCAUCAUCCUUUCGAUGCCAAAAGAAAAGAAAAAAAAAAUAUUUUAAAGAACUGUUCUAUCUAUCCCUAUUCUCAUAUCAAAUAUUUAAUUGUUAUGCUUGCUCGUUAUGUCACACUGUUAAGAGAACAUUAUGACAAACAAAUUCAUAACAUAUCCAUGGAGAAAGAAUAAUUCAUUAGAAUCCUUUUGUAAUUGUUGAUAGUUGAUUGUUCAUUUCUUAAUAACAUGCCUUUCAAUUUCUUAAGCAUUUCACUUGGUGGAACUUCUGUGCGUCCCACUGGCUCUUUGCAACAGAAUAUACUAUUAAACGCUCCUUCCUCUGUAGAUCCUCUAGAUGUGAGGUCAACAGCAUUCGCUAGUGGCUCAAGCAGUGGUGAGCAUCCGACAAAUAUAGUCCAUCACCCUGCUUUGACGAGGAACAUACACCAGUUUUCUUGGGAUAGAGGAAGCGGUUCUUCGGGUGUUGAAAUGCCACAGUGGGAAACACCAAGAAGCAAUCCGGAGCAGCCCACCAUGUUUGCACCUCCAACUGACAUUAGAAACCCUGUGCAUGAUCAAUCCAUGUGGAGUUUCACACGUGGGAGUCCUGUAGAUUCUCCGUUCGCUUCUCGAGGAGGGCCGAGUUCAGCUAUUCAUGGGCAGCAGCAGCAGCCAUCAAAUCCCGCAUGGAUUCCUCCUCAGAGUGGCCCAAUACAUGAUCCAACGAGAGCAUCAGAACUAUCUCCUUGGUCUUUAUUUCCUAGUAUUGAAUCUCAAUCUGCUAGUCAUGGUCCCUUGUUGCCCACAGGUCCUUCUCUUUCCUCAAAUGAGGCUGCAAUGCCAUCUAGCUCUAAUAGCCGGAGCCAUCGCUCACGGCAAAGAAGGUCAGGGUUGUUAUCUGAGAGACAGAAUGAGCUUCUCCACUUGCGUCACUUAGGGAGGAGCUUAGCUGCUGACAGUGAUGGAAGGAAUCACCUUAUCUCUGAGGUCUGUCUUCUAUAUAUUACUCAGCUCUUUAAUGAUUAUUCUUAACAGCCUACAAUAGCAUUUGACCAUUUCUUGGGGGGUGAUGUUUUCUGGUGUUUUACUUUUGUGAUAUAAUCUGGUUUUGUACUUUUGUGAUCUAAGUUAAUAUAUGAGUGCUAGAGCAGUUUGGUGCAUUCUGAUAUGACUUAAUGCAAACCAUAGUAACGUUAUGGGAGAUGUUUCUUGUUUUGUAAACCUCCUUUUUGUUUUUGUUUUUUGUACUUCGAUAAGAGUUUUAAUAGUGAGUUGUACUGUACUCUUUCCUCUUUUUGUUCGCAGAUACGUCAGGUGUUGUCCGCCAUGAGAAGAGGGGAAAGUUUACGUAUUGAGGUAUGAUUUUGACACAAGUGAUUCUCUUGUUUAUAUCAGUUUAUUGGUAGACGUGUUUUCCUGAAGUGUGCGAAGGAGUCCCUGAAUACACGUUUUAGCUUUAUAACUUUUAAACCAUAGUUUCCUGCAAACAAGUGCCUGACAUCUUUGUAGCUGCAAUGUAUCAUAGUCUUAAGUGUUAUAGGUCUCACAUUACGAACAUAGUCUUAGCCACUUGUGAGUUCCUUUUAUUCCUUUCUGAAGCAUUACAUGUGUAGCUUACCUUCCUGUUUCUCCAUUCGAUAGGAUUACAUGGUGUUGGAUCCACUUAUCUUCCAGGGUAUGACUGAAAUGCACGAUAGGCAUCGGGAAAUGCGCCUUGAUGUCGACAACAUGUCGUACGAGGUGAGUAUUCAAUUUCCUUUUUGACUGUUUAACCGCAAUCUUCCCAUUUGCCAAUGUUGUCUGGGAAUGAAUGUAGGAGCUAUUGGCACUUGGGGAACGCAUAGGAGAUGUGAGCACUGGACUAAGCGAAGAUGUCAUUCUGAAAACAAUGAAACAGCACAAAUGUACAUCUUCUUCUCCUGAGUUGCAUCAGUACAUGGAGCCUUGCUGUAUUUGUCAGGUAAACUAGUUAUAAACUAAAGAGUAUUCCACUCCUUUCACUACUGUACAUUAAUCAUGCAUCUGUAUACUCAGCCAUUCCUUACGCGACAAUUACACUUAGUGAGCAUAAAAGAUAAGAAAAGUGGUUUUUUAUUGUUUCUCUUGCAUGUGGAGUGAAUUAGGAUACUGCAGAUAAGAUAGAUUGGACCAGAGUUUGUUUGUUGUUUGGGAGCCUUCUGAGAUUUGGAAAACUUAGUUUCCUCUGUGUCUCUACUUAAUGUGUCUCUACUUAAAGUCACGAACUGAUGUGGAACUGUUUUUCUUGGUGCUGUUUUGACAGGAAGAAUAUGCAGAAGGUGAUGAUCUUGGGACCUUGGAAUGUGGCCAUGAGUUCCACAAGGACUGUAUCAAGCAAUGGGUCAUGCUCAAGAAUCUCUGCCCCAUAUGUAAGACCGUGGCAUUAACAACGUGAUGGUACUCUCAUCUUAAUUGCGCAUCCCGGCUCCAUUCAUCAUCCUUUCGAUGCCAAAAGAAAAGAAAAAAACAAAAAAUUAAAGAACUGUUCUUCUAUCUAUCCCUAUCUCAUAUCAAAUAUUUAAUUGUUAUGCUUGCUCGUUAUGUCACACUGUUAAGAGAACAUUAUGACAAACAAAUUCAUAACAUAUCCAUGGAGAAAGAAUAAUUCAUUAGAAUCCUUUUGUAAUUGUUGAUAGUUGAUUGUUCAUUUCUUAAUAACAUGCCUUUCAAUUUCUUACAAAGAUUUUGGUUUUCAAAUUUUCUCAAAAGUAAAAACAGGAAUGCUUAAACUACAGAAUCAUGUACAAUAAAAGAGUUCACAUUUCUUGUUCCCAAUGAGAAUCAUUUCCUCAUAAUAAGAUGCUUUAAAGUUCUCACAAAUGUUUUGUUUAUGACAAUUGAGCAGUAUAAAUGCUUAAACUACAGAUAUCAUGUGUCUUAAUGUGUCUCUACUUAUGCUCUUGUUCCCAAUGAGAAUAAUCCCCUUUUUUUACUAGAAUCUUUUGUAAAUAGUUCACAGUUGAUUUCUUAAUAAGAUUCUUUAAAAUUCUUACAAAUAUUUUGUUUUUGAGAAUUGAGCAGUAGAAAUGCUUAGACUAGGGAAACAAAGCUUAUGUAGUAAAAACUCUUCUGUCUAAGGAAAGAGUAAAGAGCAUGUACAAUAAAACUCGGCCUGCUCAGGCAAAGCGCUGACAUUGAGAAAGAACACUUGAAAGAAAACGCACCGUCUCAUCAGAGUUGGGCUCCCCUAAAUGGCGUUGAUGAGUUUGGUCCCUGUAGCAGGAUCUUCAUCUAUGGCAACAACAUCGCUGAACUUGUCAAAAAGCUGCUCCAACUGAUCCACUCCCAUCUUAUUGUAAUCCAGUGACCUCUUGUACCUUUGCUUGUAUACCGCCUCAAAACAAUCCAUCCGCACGCGACAACCAUAGCUAACCAUAAUGUCUUGCAGCUCCAACUUGAACUCUUCCAGGCUCCUCUCGCUCUGAGUCGAACCAGUAUCCGAGAGUUCAUCAGAUGAGACUCCUCCUCCAUUGGUAGUAAUGCUGAUAUCUUUGUCUUUAUUCUCUCUCCUCAGUAGAACCACAGGCGGAGGAGAAGGAGGAGAGACACGGCUCGGUCUGGAGCUCCGAAGAUAAACAAACCUCUUGUUGCCUUUACCAUCCACAGCAAUCACAUCACCCAUCUUCUUGAAAAGAUCCACAAGCUUAGGCGAACCAUAAUCCGCCACAAAAAGAGGUUUACUAAAAUUCCUUUGAUACUCAGAAGGAACACGCAUGAGAGGCAUACACCCACCCGAAAGCUCCAAAAGCUUCACUAGCUGUCCCUUCAAACCAUUCAAAUCUCCAGGCGCUACCCACAUGGUGGACUCAAGGUGGCCAGGAGGAGGAUAACAUGACGGCAUCAUGCUGCUACUGCUACUACACUCAUUCUGAAACUGAGAAACCAUCAAGGAAGAAGCUUCUCUAGAGUUACCACUAUAAAAACUCUGAGACACACCUCUAUAAAGAAUCGUCUCAUCUUCAUUCACCGCCCCAUCAAGAUUAUUACUGCCACAUCCCAUCAGAUAGGUCCCAACACGAGGCCUCGGCAACGGCACAAACCCUUCACCGUGAACAAUGCUUUGCCAGUCCCAAACAAACUUACCAGCACUAGUCAAAGCCGGGUUCACGUACACGCCAGAAGGUAUAAUGACAACCACACUGUGCCCACGCUGGCCAAGCACGUGAAGAGCGGGAGCGAAAUCAACAUCUCCAGUGAUGAUAACGAUAGUGGAAGGAGGAGGAUGGUCAAGCACGAACAGGAACAUGUCGAGGAGGAUAGCUUUAUCAGCUGCGUCUUUCCUGCCGUUGGGUACAUCGACGAGUUUGACACCUGUCCUCUGACAGCCUUCCCUGACGCGGCGAGGGAAGGCGUUGAAGUCGCCGAAGGCUGAGAAGACGACCACCGAGCCGGAGACCACUGGGUGGAGCUGUAUAGCGGUUCGGAUGUUACUGGCGACGUCUUCGGGACGUACGUCGCUGGGGACGGGACAGUUUUCGAUGUCCCAGAGGACUGCUAGAGGAGCUUCGCGUCUCUGUGUGGCGGCCAUUAG
rnacentral:lncRNA from 1 species